UCUGUGCUGGUGCGGGAGGAGCAGGCGGGCAAAGGAGCAAAGGAGCAGGAACUGUGCCUUGAAGAUUCUCCCUGCGCCUUCAGGAGGAUGCUGGGCUGAGCCAAAAUCAAAGCGCUCUGCUGUGCUCGCGCUGUGCUGCUGAGGAGUUGGUUUCAGAGGAGUUCCCUCAGCCGGUCAGAGAUCUCAGCACCCAAGCUCUUAGCAAGCUGCUGCCUUCAACAACAUCCCCAUAAGGAGCAAACUGAAACAGCACAAGGAGUAGAUGUCAGCCUCAGACUGACAACUGCGCUUCUGGGUAAUCUAAUGCCAUUUUAAUAUCUUGCUUUUAAUUCAGCUCAGCGAAUGCUUUGAUGGACACGGCACUGAUGCUCGUGAGCCCGAGUUCAGUUGUUAGUGCCAUGUCAGAAAUUAUUUUUCACAGACGACUGUAGCUGGAGCGUCAGCUCCCAUUAAGUGUAUUAAGUGUAUUGGUAUAUAUUAAGUAUAUAUGACCUCUGAGAUUCUGGGCUAGCACGCUGCAUUUUGUAGCCUUUGGUUUGUUCCUGCGGUGACAAGAACAGAAGGUCUCUGGUUAACUUUUGACCAUUGACAUAUUAAAUGAAGAUGCGCGUUUGAGCAACAUCAGUGAUUUCAAUUGACUCAUCAAUUGCCAUUGCAUAGCAGUCUUCAUGUUUCACUUUGGUAACAAGCUGAUCUGCCACAUCUGAUGCCAGCAAUUCAGUCCUUCAAACAAAUGACAUGUUUGAUAAAGAAAUCUUUUUAAAUUCAUUAUGCACUUUGGCUUUUGUCUUUCCUUUUAAUACAGCAUCUGUUGCAGCCGGGAUGCAUUCCUUGAUCGUUUCUGAGUCUGCCAUUAUUUUUCUGCCUGCCCAGUGUCCCAGGGACGUGAAACGAAGCCGCUGCGCUUUGCUGCCGAGCACUGAAACUCUGCACCAACAUUCAAUUUGAUCUCUCGGAACUGACUGCAAUAAAGUGGUUUCGUCAGCACACACUUGUGAUAAAAAGGCGACACGAAGAAAGCCAGCGAGCUGAAAGGCCCUGCGUUUUCCUGGGAAGACAAUAGGAUAUCUGGCUCUUUAUUUGUUUCGUGGAUUCCUUGUGCAGCCAUUUAAAUUCAGCCGAAGGCUCCAAAUGUCUAAACUUUAUCCUGGGCAUUUUAUUUAUUUUUUUUUCAGUGCUGGAAAGGAAUAGAGUUAAGUGUCCCAAGGGGAGUUUUAUAGAAAAUGCUAUGUGCAAUGUUAAUGAGUUGGGAAGGGGUCGUAUGUUUUUUCAUAUAGAGCCUAUGCAGGAACAAAUAUGGAACCGGAGGAGAAACCAUCUGCAGGGACCCAGUGAGGUGUGCCAGCGGGUGAUCCUGGGCUGCUGUCACCCCUAAAUGAUGAACAAAAGACUUCAAUCCCAAGAGCCCCCCGUGCCCCUGCAUGGCUCUGUGCUGGGCUGGGUGAAUAGCCGGGGCUGGAAGAAAUGACAAACUUCUUGGGUGCCACAAGAGAUUGCUUCAGCGUUACUGAUCCUCACUCUGCUCGUUACUGAAAAUGCAUCCAGCAGCUAUAUGGGUCAGACUGCUAAAUUUGUAGACACGGAGUGUCAGGAAGCCUUUUUGUCAACUUCGUACCGUUUAGUAUAUUUGUCCUCAAGUUCAAAGCAAUCCUGGCCCCAGACUUGUGAUAUUUUCUGCCCUUUCCCCUUUCUGUUGACUCAGGCCUCUUCCCUUUGAGGUCAACAUCAAAAUAAAGAUGUAUGUUUCCUCAGCCUGACCAUGGCUCUGAGUCUUUAGAUCAGCAAUCCUAUAGUCCAUAUGUCUUCCCAUCUGUCAGCCAGCAUUUGAAGCCAGCUUGCUCCUCUAUUCUUUCAGACAAGUGUGAGAAUCAGAAGUUUCUUUAAUGACGGUUUCAGGCCUUAAAGCAUUUGCUAAGAUAUUACCUAUUAAGAUCCCUUGAUGGCACCUUGAAUAGAGAUCAAAAGCAGCUGAGUUCACUCCGUAAAUCUCAUCUGGCCUUCAGUUUAGGGUGCUGGGAGAGGGGUGGGGAGGGCACCGUGUUCCCGUGCUGAGAAGCCCAGCCUGGGAAGUCAGCAUUGCAUUUGUGAAACAGUGACCCAGAGCGUGGCUCUCAGUCUGUCUCUCAAACGUUUCUAUUUUUAAUGCCUGCCAAGAGCUACUGCAAAGCCCUCGGGGUAUUUGGGGAAGUGUGUGCUCUUUGGGUUCAUAUCAUUUCAUUGGGUUACAGUGGAUUUAGCGGGGAGGCAUUCAUUGAAGUUUCUGUAUGUUGAAAGGUGUGCACGCUGUCAUGGGCAGAAUGGUGGAGGGCAUUCCCAGAGAACCUCCCAGACGGUGCUAACAAACAGGCUGGCUGUUUAUGGGACCCAAAUGUCUGUGGGGAUCUGAACAUCCCCAAGACGUGGCUGAGCAACGGGGGAUGAUGUCAC
rnacentral:lncRNA from 1 species